CCGGACGGUGGCCAUGGAAGUCGGAAUCCGCUAAGGAGUGUGUAACAACUCACCGGCGGAGUAA
ncrna:18S Ribosomal RNA from Saccharomyces cerevisiae (PDB 3J16, chain K)